rnacentral:rRNA from 1 species
GUAGGGAAUCUUCGGCAAUGGGCGAAAGCCUGACCGAGCAACGCCGCGUGAGCGAUGAAGGCCUUCGGGUCGUAAAGCUCUGUUGUUAGAGAAGAACAAGUACGAGAGUAACUGCUCGUACCUUGACGGUACCUAACCAGAAAGCCACGGCUAACUACGUGCCAGCAGCCGCGGUAAUACGUAGGUGGCAAGCGUUAUCCGGAAUUAUUGGGCGUAAAGCGCGCGCAGGCGGUCUCUUAAGUCUGAUGUGAAAGCCCACGGCUCAACCGUGGAGGGUCAUUGGAAACUGGGAGACUUGAGUGCAGGAGAGAAAAGUGGAAUUCCACGUGUAGCGGUGAAAUGCGUAGAGAUGUGGAGGAACACCAGUGGCGAAGGCGGCUUUUUGGCCUGUAACUGACGCUGAGGCGCGAAAGCGUGGGGAGCAAACAGGAUUAGAUACCCGAGUAGUCC